CUUGGUUAAGUAAUAAGUAUUUUGAUAAUAUUUAUUAAUUAAUAAGAAUAGAAUUCAGUAUAUUUAUUUUCCUCUCUUUUUUUUUUUUGUAAAAAAAAAGAAAGAGAUAAAAUCAUUUAUUUGUAAAGGAAACUGUCGUAGAAGGCAGUGUAUCGAUUAAUAAUAGUGGUAAAGAGUAUUAUACUUGGAUAAGAUAUAUUAAAGAAUAUAUAUAUAUAUAUAUAUAUACAUAUUUAUUAUUUGUACAUAUUAUUAAUUACGAUUUGGAGUAACUUCUGAUACGUAGAAGACUAAUGUAAAAAUCGAUCACAUUUGCUCCUCUUUAUAUUCUUGUAAUUAAUAACACACCUUUAACGAAUACAUAUGAAAAUUUAUUCAGAAAAUUACUCCAUGUCGCGUCUAUCAUACGAAUAAAACAUUGUAAUGAAAAAUAUGAUUAUCAAACAAAAAAAUUCUUCAUAUUUUCUACCCACAAUCUUUUAAGAAGCAUUCUUAAUUCUGUACAUUCAUAUUCGAUAUACUCAUUUUUUUUUUUUUUUUUUUUUUUUUUUUUUUNUUUACUCAUUUCAUACUUCUAUUACAUUUUUAAUUAUCUUCGUAUAAAUUCUUCUAAUUAUUUCGUUCGAUCGUUCGAAUAUAUUAUUUUAUUCACAUGUCCUUCCUUUUUUUUUUUUUUUUUAAAUUUCUUUUUCUUUCUCUUUUCUCUAAUAAUAAUUUCAGCGGAUAUAUCUUGGAACUUAUUACAAGUUUAUGAUACAAAUAAAGUCAAUAAAAAAUAUACCGCCGCAAUCGCGCAACAAACCACUAAAAUAUCUUUCUAAGUUUACAAUACGAUUGUAAAAUUGGAGUUGUCUCAUAAAAAAAUAUCUCAGAAAGGAACAUGAAAAGAUUCGCCUUAACUUUAUUAACAUUUCGAUCCGCAAUUGAAUUUGUACGCAUCAUCUUUUUUUUCUUUUUUUUUUUUUUCUUUUUUUCCCUGUUCGUAUAAAUCUCGCUUUUCUUCUAAAUUCGAAAAUUUUCGAAAUUCAAUAAAUAUAUGCUAAAAGAAAAAGUAAGGAUGCUUAAAAGAUCUCGCUUCUUCACGAGUCUUAACAAUCCUAUUUCAUACGCAUGUUAUUUAACGCCUUAACGAGGGAAAAAAAAAGAUGUCGUAUCUUUUGUGCAUUCCAAAAAUUCGAAACAAAAAAAAAAAAAAAAAAAAAAAAGAUAUCCACAGUACAAGAGAAAUUAUUGAAUAUAGAAUCGAUGAAUACGAUAGAUUGAUAUGAUUAAUUUGUAUUAUCACGAAGAAUUUGCAAUGUAUGUAUGUUAUAGACAAUUCUUACGUUAUGUAUGUUACGUGUAUUUGUAUUGUGUAUAUGCUUCAUCUAAUUCGUCUCUAGGCAUAUUUGGAAUAUACGAAAUACAAUCUGUAAGCUGUUUGGAUGGGUGGUACAUUUGGUGAUUAUUACGCAUAUACAUUUAUCCAUUAAGAUGUAACCUUUAUAUUUGAAGUAAUCCAUCAUCAGAACGUUCGUAAAAAUGCUUCCGAGUCUUAAAUUCGUCGGUUAAAGUCCAUUUAAUUCACGAGCUUGGAUGAGCUUCAUUAUGUGAUUUAAUUUAAAAACAGAGUGAAAGUGAGAACAGACGACAGAGAGAGAGAGAGAGAGAGAGAGAGAGAGAGAGAGAGAGAGGGAGGGAGGGAGGGAGGGAGGGAGAGAGGAAGGGAGGGAGAAUUCUAGUAAAGAAUCUAUGUUCCUUUUUUUUAAUUAUAUGUUUGUAACUUCUAUAUCAAGACGCGUGAAAAUAUGGUCUUAGAAAUUUGCAAGUGUAUCUAUCUGGUGUAUCAAUUUCAAAUACUAUAAAGAUCAAAAAUAUUUGAUUUAUAAUCCGUUUUACACAACAAUUGUACCUGCUAACUCCCGAUGACCUUCUGGUACUUUAGUAGGUGCCUGCAUCAUUGGAAUGGAACCAACGAUACCAUUUGUAACACCAAGCAAACAAGAAAGUAAUAGUGGAUAUCCUUCAUUAGCAAGUAUUGGAGUUCUUCUAGGUAACGCACAAAGUAAAAAUAAAGGAAUCAAUACAACUCGAACACUGGAGAACAAUAAUAACUGAGUGCGUUUCCAAUCGGUAUAAACAAAGUGUUACAAAAUAUGCUAAUCCAAUACUGCCCAUGUAUGGAAAUAUUAUUUUUGCCACUUCAAAUCUCGCAAGCCACGGUUUACUGGCUUGAGUUCCAUAUGUACCCCUCAUAACAACUACAUCUUCGACUUUAUAUGUAGGACCAGCACUACCGGGAGGAUUUCCUGAUGGUGCGCCAGGUUCGUAUACAGGAUUACUGAAUGAAAACG